AAUUUUCCAUCCAUUUGUUCUUUUAUUCUCCAGCUUCUUUGCCUUCAAGUAUCAAUUGACUCUUCUCAGUCACAAUUGUACAAAUCACAGAACUUUUUUUUAAAUUGGCACAAAAUAUACAUUAUUCAUCUAUUCAGUCUCAUCUGAAGGGAAUCCAAUAAAGAAGCAACUUUAUUUUCCAAUGAAAUAUUUAAAGCUGCUUUUUCACACAAGAGUCUGAGCCGAAAACUCCAUCCAUGACCCAUGUCACAAACGAAAUUGUGCAAGAGAAAAUAUGACACAUGCCUGUAAUGCAGUAAACUUCUGUCCUCGUUGGCUUCACCUGAGAUGCCUGCUCUGACCCUGGGUUAUAUGUCAGAACCUUUGAGCAAAUCGUCAACCUGCACUCUCUCGUGAGGUGAUGUAACUGCUCUUCUGAAUGCUGGGAAAUGGUUCUCCAGCAGGCAACUUGGGGCAGGUGGUAAGUGUGAGGAGACUGCAAAGGUGUGGCAGGUAGCCUAGAGGCCAGGUAUAGAGAGACACCUUGUUAUCUGUACUUCAAGAAUGGGGAGAAGUACUGGUGAGUUACAAGGAGCUGGGGAAUGUUUCACUUAGAUGGUUCUGCUCAUGGCAGUACUUCUUAGCUCUCAUUCUUUCUCACUCACUUUCUCUCUUGCUCUUCUCUCUCUCCCUUUCUCAGGCUGACUUUUAGUAAACCACCACUUUUAAAUUCCUUAAAGUCAAUGAGUCACCCACUAGUUCAAACUUGCACACAUUCCUGCACGUUACAAUUCAGAACCCUUGCCUAAUAUAUUUUUAGUUACAGAAAGAUAUCAGACUAAGAUGAGAACUGCUAAACAGGAAAAAAAAAAAAAAAGAAGCAUAUUGAGUGUUUUCCUUAUCUGUCAUCUUCCCCGUUCAUUUAAUCUAUGACAACGUGGAAGCAUUACAUGAAAAGCAACAUGGGAUCCUUCUCCUCCUGAGCUCUCCGGGAGGAGAAAAGAUAAGUGCUGGUAAACACCAAGUCACAAAUAUGGAAACACAAAGGCAGUUAGGGCUAUAUAAAAACAGACACGUCAUCGUUCAGGAGGAAGAACAUCCGUAAGACACAGGCAUUAGCAGAAUGUCUGUCAGGAGUGCAGCGGAUAGCACCUGCUUGGAAAGGCUUCAAGGAAAAGAGUUCUGAAGGGUGGUGGGGUAAUGGGCAGAGAGAGGAUGUCAGAAUUGGCAAGAGACAGCAAAGCACAGAUGUCAAGAGAUAAGAGACAAAGUGAUCCCUUGGAAACAGAGAGCAAAAGUAAUAAAAUUUGCAAAUUCCUUCAGAACCUGGUGGUACCAACACAGUCAAAGGGAACCAGAAAACUAAAUAAAUCUGAUUAGCAAGCAGACCUAAAUUAUGCUGCAUUUUCUCCUAUAAAGUGUUUGUGUCUUAUUCAGGUAAUCAAUCAGCUUUCUACUUAAAUUUAUCACAAAUGAAAAUGUGAAUGCCCCAAACCCAAAGGCAAACACACAGCUUCAGAAGUUCAGCAGUGAAUUGCCGACUUCAUAUAGAUCACUGGAAAGUAGAGGUGUAGGAAGAUGGCAGGAUUUUUAUUUUUUAAUAUAAGAUCUGCAGAUCUACAGAAUUAACUAUAUUUUUAAACAUCAAAUAUUUCUAUAUGUUUGUGGCAUACCACAUACACUUGCAAGUUUUUAAUGUGUAGAACAUUUAUAUUUUUGCUUUUUGUAUAACGCCGUCUAAUACAGUGCCAUGUUUUCACAUUUAUAAAUACUUGCUGACUAAGCUGAUCAUGCUUCUUACUCAGGUCAUAAGACUCACACACAUAUCCGUUUCAAGAAACCUUGAUUCACUCCUUUACAGAGUCGCUGCAGGCCAUGUGAGUGACAAUUGAUAUAGUGAAAUAAUAAUUUUCAUCUAGAGAGAUCAUUCGGUGUGACAGGCACUAUUCUAGUGCUUUACUCAUCAUUUCUAAUCCUUAAUGAUUAAGAAAUACCACCCUGUAAUAAAGCAGAUGUUACAGAUGAGAAAAACAGGGGCUUAGAGAAAAGAAGCAAUUUUCUUGAGUCACUCCAUUAAUGUCACUGAAAGGAGACCACAGUCUAGCUCUAACUCCACA